rnacentral:rRNA from 1 species
CAAGGCUUGACAUGCAGGGUAAUCCGGCAGAGAUGUCGGGUCCGCAAGGGAUCUUGCACAGGUGCUGCAUGGCUGUCGUCAGCUCGUGUCGUGAGAUGUUGGGUUAAGUCCCGCAACGAGCGCAACCCUUGUCCCUAGUUGCUACGCAAGAGCACUCUAGGGAGACUGCCGGUGACAAACCGGAGGAAGGUGGGGAUGACGUCAAGUCCUCAUGGCCCUUAUGGGUAGGGCUUCACACGUCAUACAAUGGUCGGAACAGAGGGUCGCCAACCCGCGAGGGGGAGCCAAUCCCAGAAAACCGAUCGUAGUCCGGAUCGCACUCUGCAACUCGAGUGCGUGAAGCUGGAAUCGCUAGUAAUCGCGGAUCAGCAUGCCGCGGUGAAUA